rnacentral:rRNA from 1 species
UACGGGGGGGGCAAGCGUUGUUCGGAAUUACUGGGCGUAAAGGGCUCGUAGGUGGCCAACUAAGUCAGACGUGAAAUCCCUCGGCUUAACCGGGGAACUGCGUCUGAUACUGGAUGGCUUGAGGUUGGGAGAGGGAUGCGGAAUUCCAGGUGUAGCGGUGAAAUGCGUAGAUAUCGGGAAGAACACCCGUGGCGAAGGCGGCUCUCUGGGACGGUACUGACGCUGAGACGCGAAAGCGUGGGGAGCGAACAGG